GCAUACUCCGGUGCCAAAUAGCCACUGCAAGAAAAUAAAGUUUCUUGUUAAACUUAAUGUUAUUGUGAAAACUUCUUCCAAUUGUGUACAAAUUAUCAACCAUUCAACUAUAAUCUUUGUUGUAUUUAUACACAGCUUGUUUUAUAUUAUCCAAAGACAUUAUUGUAGCACAAAUUUAAUUAGAGCAAUUAAGAAUAAUUCAAGGAAAUGGUAAAAUCCGAUUACAUGGUUCCUGCG
rnacentral:misc_RNA from 1 species